GCAUUGGUGGUUCAGUGGUAGAAUUCUUGCUUGCCAUGCAGGAGACCCGAGUUCGAUUCCUGGCCAGUGCA
rnacentral:tRNA from 1 species